GAUGAACGCUGGCGGCGUGCCUAAUACAUGCAAGUCGAGCGAACGGACGAGAAGCUUGCUGCUCUGAUGUUAGCGGCGGACGGGUGAGUAACACGUGUAUAACCUACCUAUAAGACGGGGAUAACUUCGGGAAACCGGAGCUAAUAGCGUAUAAUAUUUUGAACCGCAGGGUGCAAAAGUGAAAGACGGUCUUGCUGUCACUUAUAGAUGGAUCCGCGCUGCAUUAGCUAGUUGGUAAGGUAACGGCUUACCAAGGCAACGAUGCAUAGCCGACCUGAGAGGGUGAUAGGCCACACUGGAACUGAGACACGGUCCAGACUCCUACGGGAGGCAGCAGUAGGGAAUCUUCCGCAAUGGGCGAAAGCCUGACGGAGCAACGCCGAGUGAGUGAUGAAGGUCUUCGGAUCGUAAAACUCUGUUACUAGGGAAGAACAGAUGUGUAAGUAACUGUGCACAUCUUGACGGUACCUAAUAAGAAAGCAACGGCUAACUACGUG
rnacentral:rRNA from 1 species